rnacentral:rRNA from 1 species
GUUAAGCGACUAAGCGUACACGGUGGAUGCCCUGGCAGUCAGAGGCGAUGAAGGACGUGCUAAUCUGCGAUAAGCGUCGGUAAGGUGAUAUGAACCGUUAUAACCGGCGAUUUCCGAAUGGGGAAACCCAGUGUGUUUCGACACACUAUCAUUAACUGAAUCCAUAGGUUAAUGAGGCGAACCGGGGGAACUGAAACAUCUAAGUACCCCGAGGAAAAGAAAUCAACCGAGAUUCCCCCAGUAGCGGCGAGCGAACGGGGAGCAGCCCAGAGCCUGAAUCAGUGUGUGUGUUAGUGGAAGCGUCUGGAAAGGCGCGCGAUACAGGGUGACAGCCCCGUACACAAAAAUGCACAUGCUGUGAGCUCGAUGAGUAGGGCGGGACACGUGGUAUCCUGUCUGAAUAUGGGGGGACCAUCCUCCAAGGCUAAAUACUCCUGACUGACCGAUAGUGAACCAGUACCGUGAGGGAAAGGCGAAAAGAACCCCGGCGAGGGGAGUGAAAAAGAACCUGAAACCGUGUACGUACAAGCAGUGGGAGCACGCUUAGGCGUGUGACUGCGUACCUUUUGUAUAAUGGGUCAGCGACUUAUAUUCUGUAGCAAGGUUAACCGAAUAGGGGAGCCGAAGGGAAACCGAGUCUUAACUGGGCGUUAAGUUGCAGGGUAUAGACCCGAAACCCGGUGAUCUAGCCAUGGGCAGGUUGAAGGUUGGGUAACACUAACUGGAGGACCGAACCGACUAAUGUUGAAAAAUUAGCGGAUGACUUGUGGCUGGGGGUGAAAGGCCAAUCAAACCGGGAGAUAGCUGGUUCUCCCCGAAAGCUAUUUAGGUAGCGCCUCGUGAAUUCAUCUCCGGGGGUAGAGCACUGUUUCGGCAAGGGGGUCAUCCCGACUUACCAACCCGAUGCAAACUGCGAAUACCGGAGAAUGUUAUCACGGGAGACACACGGCGGGUGCUAACGUCCGUCGUGAAGAGGGAAACAACCCAGACCGCCAGCUAAGGUCCCAAAGUCAUGGUUAAGUGGGAAACGAUGUGGGAAGGCCCAGACAGCCAGGAUGUUGGCUUAGAAGCAGCCAUCAUUUAAAGAAAGCGUAAUAGCUCACUGGUCGAGUCGGCCUGCGCGGAAGAUGUAACGGGGCUAAACCAUGCACCGAAGCUGCGGCAGCGACACUAUGUGUUGUUGGGUAGGGGAGCGUUCUGUAAGCCUGUGAAGGUGUACUGUGAGGUAUGCUGGAGGUAUCAGAAGUGCGAAUGCUGACAUAAGUAACGAUAAAGCGGGUGAAAAGCCCGCUCGCCGGAAGACCAAGGGUUCCUGUCCAACGUUAAUCGGGGCAGGGUGAGUCGACCCCUAAGGCGAGGCCGAAAGGCGUAGUCGAUGGGAAACAGGUUAAUAUUCCUGUACUUGGUGUUACUGCGAAGGGGGGACGGAGAAGGCUAUGUUGGCCGGGCGACGGUUGUCCCGGUUUAAGCGUGUAGGCUGGUUUUCCAGGCAAAUCCGGAAAAUCAAGGCUGAGGCGUGAUGACGAGGCACUACGGUGCUGAAGCAACAAAUGCCCUGCUUCCAGGAAAAGCCUCUAAGCAUCAGGUAACAUCAAAUCGUACCCCAAACCGACACAGGUGGUCAGGUAGAGAAUACCAAGGCGCUUGAGAGAACUCGGGUGAAGGAACUAGGCAAAAUGGUGCCGUAACUUCGGGAGAAGGCACGCUGAUAUGUAGGUGAAGUCCCUCGCGGAUGGAGCUGAAAUCAGUCGAAGAUACCAGCUGGCUGCAACUGUUUAUUAAAAACACAGCACUGUGCAAACACGAAAGUGGACGUAUACGGUGUGACGCCUGCCCGGUGCCGGAAGGUUAAUUGAUGGGGUUAGCCGCAAGGCGAAGCUCUUGAUCGAAGCCCCGGUAAACGGCGGCCGUAACUAUAACGGUCCUAAGGUAGCGAAAUUCCUUGUCGGGUAAGUUCCGACCUGCACGAAUGGCGUAAUGAUGGCCAGGCUGUCUCCACCCGAGACUCAGUGAAAUUGAACUCGCUGUGAAGAUGCAGUGUACCCGCGGCAAGACGGAAAGACCCCGUGAACCUUUACUAUAGCUUGACACUGAACAUUGAGCCUUGAUGUGUAGGAUAGGUGGGAGGCUUUGAAGUGUGGACGCCAGUCUGCAUGGAGCCGACCUUGAAAUACCACCCUUUAAUGUUUGAUGUUCUAACGUGGACCCGU